rnacentral:lncRNA from 1 species
GUCGGACCCCGAGUGCAGGAAGGGGGGGCCUGGACUUUCAUAAUCUUCGCUCAGUGAAUGUAAAGGAUGUUUGGUCGGAUGUUAUGACGAAGAAUCAUAAUGUGAAUGGGAAUAUUCUAUAAAUGUCUUGAUAUCAUCUUUCGUCUCAACACUUCUGCUGCAGCCGCUUAAAGUCUCACUCCGAGAACCUUAAAAUAUGAAUCAAUCCAUUCAUCAGUCGUGGGUGCCCGAAGAGCCGAUGGAUGAGGAGGAAUUGUUUGAUGAGGAGCCACCUUACACGUGUGACCCCCACCACAAUUGCAUUGACAAAUUCAUUGUUUGCCAAGAGGAGCUGAUGGGCCUUUUUGCCAUCUGUCCGGCCUGUUGUGAGAGGUCGGAUAGUAGCAUCGUGCAGCAGGAAGGAACUUUUGUUAAGAUCAAGCAGGUCUGUGCAUCAUGUGGCUACCACCGUUUCUGGCAAAACCAGCCAAUGCUCCACAGGAACAUGCCAACCUGCAACCUCCUGUUAAGUGGGGCCAUUCAUUUUACUGGAUGUUUGGCCACACAGACAC